rnacentral:rRNA from 1 species
GCAUAUCAAUAAGCGGAGGAAAAGAAACCAACAGGGAUUGCCCCAGUAACGGCGAGUGAAGCGGCAAGAGCUCAAAUUUGAAAUCUGGCCUCCUCCGGGGGUCCGAGUUGUAAUUUGUAGAGGAUGCUUCGGGUGCGGCCGCCGUCUAAGUUCCUUGGAACAGGACGUCAGAGAGGGUGAGAAUCCCGUCUUGGGCGGCCGGCGCGCGCCCGUGUGAAGCUCCUUCGACGAGUCGAGUUGUUUGGGAAUGCAGCUCUAAGCGGGUGGUAAAUUUCAUCUAAAGCUAAAUACUGGCCGGAGACCGAUAGCGCACAAGUAGAGUGAUCGAAAGGUUAAAAGCACCUUGAAAAGGGAGUUAAACAGCACGUGAAAUUGUUGAAAGGGAAGCGCUUGCGGCCAGACUCGGGGGGCGGGGUUCAGCGGGCGCUCGUCGCCCGUGCACUCCCCGCGUUCCCGGGCCAGCAUCAGUUUCGACGGCCGGUCAAAGGCCCCCGGAAUGUGUCGUCUCUAGGGACGUCUUAUAGCCGGGGGUGCAAUGCGGCCCGUCGGGACUGAGGAACGCGCUCCGGCUCGGAUGCUGGCGUAAUGGUCGUAAGCGGCCCGUCUUGAAACACGGACC